rnacentral:rRNA from 1 species
UACAGAGGGGGCAAGCGUUGUUCGGAAUUACUGGGCGUAAAGGGCGCGUAGGCGGCCUGUUAAGUCGAACGUGAAAUCCCCGGGCUCAACCCGGGAACUGCGUCCGAUACUGGCAGGCUUGAAUCCGGGAGAGGGAUGCGGAAUUCCAGGUGUAGCGGUGAAAUGCGUAGAUAUCUGGAGGAACACCGGUGGCGAAGGCGGCAUCCUGGACCGGCAUUGACGCCUGAGGCGCGAAAGCCAGGGGGAGCAAAACGGGG